UGAGCCGGCUGGGCGAUUGCGUCUGUGUGAACCAGCGUCGAUUGAUGUUCAAGGCACAUGGCCGAGGAAAGUCCGGACCCCAAAGAGCACGGUGGUUGCUAACGGCAACCCGGGGAAACCCGAGGGCAAGUGCAGCAGAAAGUAAACCGCCUCCAGGUAUUUUCCUGGCGGUAAGGGUGAAAGGGUGCGGUAAGAGCGCACCGGCAGCGACGGCGACGUAGCUGGCCAGGUAAACCCCACCGGGGGCAAGGCAAGAGGGCGCACGAAGCAUCACCCAGGUAUGAGGUGAGAAGUGUGCCUGCGCGGAUUGAAGGCGGCUCGCCUAAACGUCCGCGGGUAGCUGCUUGAGGUCGCGAGCAAUCGCGGCCCUAGAUGGAUGAUCGCCACCUGUGGUUGUGCCCAGCGCAACCGGGUACAGAAUCCGGCUUAUAGGCCGGCUCAUUCG
rnacentral:RNase_P_RNA from 1 species